GGAUGCAGGACAAGGAUAAGGAUGGAGGACAGGGAUGGAGGACAAGGAGUAAGGAUGGAGGGCAUGGAUGGAGGACAAGGAUAAGGAUGGAGGACAUGGAUGGAGGACAAGGAGUAAGGAUGGAGGACGUGGAUGGAGGACAUGGAUGGAGGACGUGGCACAAGGAUGUAGGACAAGGAUGAGGAUGGAGGGUAGGGAUGGAGGACAAGGAGUAGGGAUGGAGGAUAAGGAGUAAGGAUGGAGGACAUGGCACAAGGAUGCAGGGCAAUGAUAAGGGUGCAGGACAGGGAUGGAAGUCAAGGAGUAAGGAUGGAG
rnacentral:lncRNA from 1 species